rnacentral:lncRNA from 1 species
AAUAAAAGACAAAAAUAGCUAGAAAAGAGGAGACAGCAACUAGCCAACAGUCUCCAAGGGGAAUGUUCAGUCAAGUAUGGCCUUGGCUCCUCCCCCUCACAGGACCCCUGUUAGUCCUCUUUGUGUUUCUCCUAAUAGGACCACGUCUGUUAAAUUGCUACAGAAGUUCCUGCAAGAUCAGAUAUAUAGAUUCACCAACCAGUCAGUCAAUCAACUACUUCUUUAAGAC